CGCUAUGCAUGCAAGUCGAGCGACGCAUUUCCGGUUCGUAAGAACUGGAUCUGACGGAGCGGCGCAAUGGGUGCGUAACACGUGACCAACCUGCCCUGAAGACCGGGAUAACCUUUCGAAAGAAUGGCUAAUACCGGAUACCCUCCUAGAACCGCAUGGUUCAUUGAGGAAAUGUUUUAGCGCUUCAGGAUGAGGUCGCGGCCCACCAGCUAGUUGGUGAGGUAAUGGCUCACCAAGGCAACGACGGGUAGCUGGUCUGAGAGGGCGAUCAGCCACACUGGAACUGAGACACGGUCCAGACUCCUACGGGAGGCAGCAGCAGGGAAUCUUGCGCAAUGGGCGAAAGCCUGACGCAGCGACGCCGCGUGGGGGAUGAAGGCCUUCGGGUUGUAAACCCCUUUCAGGAGGGAAGAAAAUGACGGUACCUCCAGAAGAAGCCCCGGCCAACUACGUGCCAGCAGCCGCGGUAAUACGUAGGGGGCGAGCGUUGUCCGGAUUUAUUGGGCGUAAAGGGCUCGUAGGCGGCUUGACAAGUCGAUCGUGAAAACUCAGGGCUCAACCCUGAGACGCCGGUCGAUACUGUCAUGGCUAGGGUCCGGUAGAGGAGAAUGGAAUUCCCGGUGUAGCGGUGAAAUGCGCAGAUAUCGGGAGGAACACCAGUAGCGAAGGCGGUUCUCUGGGCCGGUACCGACGCUGAGGAGCGAAAGCGUGGGGAGCAAACAGGAUUAGAUACCCUGGUAGUCCACGCCGUAAACGUUGGGUACUAGGUGUGGCGUCUUUAUCAACGGAUGCCGUGCCGAAGCUAACGCAUUAAGUACCCCGCCUGGGGAGUACGGCCGCAAGGCUAAAACUCAAAGGAAUUGACGGGAGCCCGCACAAGCGGCGGAGCAUGCGGCUU
rnacentral:rRNA from 1 species